CCCUGUGUCCACACAUAUGCCUUGAGUUGCUCUUCGGUGAACAUCACUUUUCCUUUCAUGUUUUUUCCACACACUAUUAUCUGUAUGAAAUGAAGACCAAGAAAGGAUGGGAAGAAGGAGAAGAAAAAUUUUGGUUUAUCUCAGAAACUAUACCCCUAUAGUGAGAGUCCUGGUUGCAGGUGCAACUGAAGGACCAUGGCUAUGGUAGCUGCCUAGGAAGACUGGCCGUCAUAUUCAUGCUUGUGCAGCCCUUGGACUUUUAGAUCUACCAGGAUCAACAUAUUUUGGAGUUCUCAGUCCCAUGUACAAAGUCCAACUAUCUGAGGCCACCAUGCACUGAGGAUGUCCAGUCCACCUGGAGAGGCUACCAGCAUCCUUCACUGAGGCAGGAAGCAGAGUCAAGCUGUUGCCAUGAAGCUUGUUUCAAGAGCUCAGAAAUCCUCCAGGGAUCCUUUACUACUGCUUUUCAAAGAGGCCUUUUUUUUUUUUCUCUUCUCCUUUUCCUGCAAAGAGGGUUAUAUCCAGUACUCAAGGACAUGGCUAAGGCUGAAUAUAUGCUGUGGAAACAGAAAUAUGUGUGAAGGGAUGUAUGAAACCACAGAAUAAAUGGAAUCCACUUUCUUGAAGUAGCUACAAUUCUACCUGAGGAUGUGACAAGGAAGACUGCAACCCCAUUUGCUUCUGAUAACCUUCCUAUGACUAAGAUUAAAUGAACCAGCAUAAAACUCAACAUUCAAAAGGUGAAUAUUAUUUUAUUAGUAAAACUCACUAUUUUGGUUUAUCAACACUUUUUUUUUCUUUCUGCACAAUAUAAGGUGAAGAAGAGAAUUAAAAUGAACAGUUGACCAGUUAAUUUAAUCAGUGUACACAGUUUAGAUAGUUAAUCUAGGUUUCAAAACAAAUCAUUUUCUCCCAAAGAAGUGUGUGGCUUGAUGGUUUGUAUGAGAAGUAGACUGUAUAAAUGUAAAAUAAAUUAAGUUUGGGUUGUUUGAACCUGAUUUCACCAGUUGUUCAUUUAACAACCAGUUUUGCAGAAUUCACAUGAAUAAAUGUGUGCACUGAAGAAUUUACCUGUAAAAAAGUGUGUAAAAAUUUCUUUACACGAAUAAAUUAUUUUGGUAAAAAAUUUUCCUAAAUGGAGAAUAAGGGCAUCUGGAAAGUUUUGCUUCUGUGAUGGCAUUUUAUGAGUACAGCUCUUAACAUUGCAACUAGACCCAUAACAUUUUUGACACUUUUAGACCUGGAAGAGAUCUUAUUUGAUUUCUAUAUAAAAUUCUGGUCUUAGUUUACCAGAAGGUAAAGAUAGAAGGAACAGAUGACUAUUUGGGAGGAAAGUACAUUAAUCAUAAUAUUUAGAAAGACAAUUUAUUCUGAUAAGCUAAAUUGCCAUAAUUAAAAUGCAUAAACUCUGACAUUAAAAUUCUGCUCUCCACAUGGAAAGUAUUUCUGUCCUUGGACCUUGAUCCAGUUGUUACAAAAGAAUACUAUUAAAAGGUGGUAAUUACCUACAAUGCUUUGUCUCGGUGUCUAUUUUUUACCCACUGAGGGAAUGGCUCCAGUGUCACCUGAGAAUAAAACCUCUCUUGUUUACUAAUGAGGUCUGUAUUUUUCCCUUUUGUAGCUCUCCCCCUUACAUAUGUGGCACCUCAAAUUUUUUAUGCUUCCAUGCUAUCCUGCUGUGAGAAAGAAUAGUAAUUACAUCUAAUUAGAAAAGAUUAAAAUGCUAUGACUCAUGGAAAUAAUGAAACUUGAUUAUGUUUUAUAUAAUGCAUAAAUCCCAAACCUACAUUUUACACUUGAAAUUAGCAUACAACCUGAUCAGCAGCAUAAAAGCAGUGUUGUGAAUGUUCAUUACGGUGCUUGUUUUGCUAACUGCACUUUCUGUCAUGUCUCAGCCUUAUCAUCGUGGAUCCAUCUCCCCUUAGGCAAAAAGAGAGAGGCCAGUUGGCUUUUUUCUUAAAACCUGCAUUUGCUUUAUAACAUAUUAAUUUUAUUUAUUUAUGGUAUGUUAUAGUAGCAUGUGGGAAUGAGAUAUGAUAUAUGGUUAAUAAAGAACUAAUGAACACACAAACACCUUCGUUUUCCCCUUUAGCAGGCCCCAGGACCAAAACAUUGUUUUCAAUUUCAUCAAGAUUUUCCAGGUUAAGAAAGGUAAAAUGCAACCUAGAGAUGAUUGUUUUCUUUUAAACAUGAGGAUUUUUUUUUUUUCUUUUUCUGCAUCAUGGACUCAGCGUGAAUGUUCAUUUCAAUUAUAGUCCAGUUCAGAAAGAUCCCUCGUGCAUGCAGGCAUUGUAGGAGAACAUAUGCAGUUUUAUAAUGGAACAGAGGGAGACAUUACGUGGAGAUAGAUUUGUGCCAUAAACACAUAGGGGCAUAAGGGAUUGUCUAGAUAGAAAGGGAAAAAGAAGCAAACCUAAAAACAUCAAAAGGAUUGAAUUGUAACUCCAGAAGGCAAGAAGUUCUCAUUUAUCUAUCUACCUAUCUGACAUGAAGAUCAUAACUUUCUGAAAUAUAAUGUAUUAAAUGUUUUUUAAGUCCAAUGAUAAGAUAAUUCUGAUAAUAACUUGGCAUAGCAUGAACAUUGCCCCAUUAAUCUCAAUCAGAUACCCCCUUGGAGAGAUAAGCUGCUUUUACUCCACUAGUAGGUACGUGUGAUCUGCAGCCAUGUGACGGGAACCAAGUCUGUGGUUGUGAUAACUAUGAAAAUGAAUAAGAUUAGAGACUAGGAGGUGUAUUUGUGUGAUGGGACAGUGUUUCUGGGAUCUGUUAUCAGUAUGUAAUGAAAAAAAGUUAUUAAGACGUCUAUUAUCCACUGUGUGGGAACAAAUAAUAUCAAAAGCAUGGAAAAUGAAUGUUUGUACAAAGAUUUGAGUUAUCUUUAGGGGCAAACAUUGAUGAUAUUACUCCACUCUGAAUGAAAAGAGGAAAAUAUUGUGCCUUCAUGAAACUGGGUAAAGGCCAUUUUAAGAAGGAGCAAUUCUUCUAAUGUAAUAUUUGUAUGCUUUUUCUGUUGCUCUUUUAUAUGGGGUUUCAUUGGAAAUAAAUGCAUUUCAUAAUCACAAACCAAGAUUAGCAUUUCAAAAUGGAUCGUGUGAAGGCCAUAAUACAGGAAUAACAUAUUAUUCUAUUUCAGAAAUAAAAUGAGUAAAUAUUUGGUCUCAAAUACUUUCAUAUAAAAGUGGUCAGAGUUAAAGUGCUUCCUAUAGCAUGUAUUUACUUACUUGGACCUCUCUCAAUAUUCUCCCUUUUAUGUAAAUUUCAAAUCCAUUUUAUGGUCAGUCAUUAUAACCAUUCCUUUACAGUCUUGACUCCCUUGUACCUCUCUUGCUUUAUAGUACUCAUCUGACAAAACUACAGUGCUGCCAAAAUCCAACUCUUACCCUGUUCUUCCUCUGUACCUGUGCAGAUGGAUGAGGCUAGGGAAAACAAACAAUAAAAAACACAACUCUGUUUCCCUUCCCAGGGACCACAUCGGUCAAAUGCUCAUGCCUGGGUCCAGUCCUCUUUCCACUCCUAUUCAACGUUCCAAACCUCCUCCCUCCUCAAACCUCCAAAUUUUAUUCUAUCCCAGAUGAUUACCUUGCUUCCUGUUUUCCUGAGAAAACUGAAGAAUCAGAAAAGAUAUCCCACAGCCUCUCUGUACCACUCAUUGCCGCCUUUUGGUAAGAUAAACUAUCUGAGUUGCUUUGCAAAUUCUGUCCUUUAAAUUUUUGUGCAUGUUAGUUCCAUCUUACCUACUCAAAGACAUGUCCUCAACAAUUCCCUCCCUUUCUCCUAUAUCAUAAAAUUUCCCCU